UUGUUCGUCCUUUUGGUCUCUUCUCGUCGGGUGUGGUUCAUUGUCGCUAGUUUCGCUGAAGUUGCGAAGUGCAUUGAUACUUAAGAAGGCUACUGUGCUUUUAGAUGAAAGGCCCCGCGUUAAAGGUGGAUCUAGGGCUUUUGGGUCACAGUAUGGGUUUAAAAAUCGUGCUGUUCAAGUCCUGUGGUCUCGUUUCCUCGGAAGGCUACUCAGAAGAUGCGAGAUCAAGAGGAUGACAAACCAGGAUCAAAGGUAAAGGAAAAGAACUUGAGCAUCCAUGAAGGAUGUUUGUCUGCAUGGUGUGUGCACUCCCAGCUGAACUAGUGGACAGAUGUGGAUUUGUUACACACAGAUGUCUCAAAGUGAGCUGGUUGAGAUUCAUCUGAAGACAUGCUGAGCCGUUCCUCGUCUGUCUAAUGAUGUCUUAGUUCACUGUCCAGUGAAUUUAUCAGAACUGGAUUCAGUGGCUGCAGAGACUCUUCUUCAGUAUACAUGGAUCCAGAGCUCGGUGAAAAGAGGACUUGGAAUGGAUCUUUAUGUGAAGAUGGAUUUAACAUUAUUUAACAUUUAAUGCUUGAUGUUUAAGAACUGAUGCUGCUGUAAUUUGAAUAAACUGUUGACAGGAAACCAGUGUAACCAGUGUUCUCAUCAUUGUGUUAAACGAUAGGCUUGAAUUUGGAUUUAUUUUUAUUAAUUGUAUAGCACCUUUCAGAACUCAAGUCCUUCAACAAAAAAUGGCAAUUUUGUUUUCUUAGGUGUAAAGUCACUGACUUUUCAGAACAUGUUUCAACAAUCAGAAUUGGUAGCUCUGUUCCUGGCUCUUCAUCGGAGUCUAAUGAGCAAGAUGAUCAACUCCAAGUCAGCCCUGGCAAUAAAGUUGAACACCUGCUGGACCUUAAAUAUCAUUGCAGGCAACUUACUUGAGACUCACAACAGACACUGAUUCAAUGACCUAGUCAUACUUGUAUACACUGUAAGGUAUUGUACUUUCUAUGGAAUCAUUUAAUAUCUUUUACAUUUCAAAUAUUGUAGACAUCUUUAAAAUAU